AUGCUAAAUUACAGACUUCGCAGCCACCGGAUACCCUCGUUGCAGACUGGCAGUAGCCAUGUGGCUGCACUCGCCUUUCCAGACAACCAGUGCAUUAUUUCCACUAAUAGCCUGCCCAGAGCCUCCAGCUGGGCGACUCUUCAUCCCACCACCCACCAUCACCCGGCGUCCCCGUGGGUCAUAACGCGAUCGUGGCCCGCGUGCCCAAACCAAGCAGAAACCACCUCAAAGUUCCUGGCGACAGUGGCCCGGGAUCCCUUCCGCCGGCUCUCAGAGCCCCUGUCACGGUCGCGGAAAAUGCCCGGAGCCCCCGCCUCGGGGAAGGCGGCCGCCAAGGGGCCUCGAGCCGGGCCCGCGGCCGUGCAUUCCGCGCGGGGCGGGGCGGCGGCCGCGGCGUUCGCAUUGUCCACGUUCCCCGCGCCCCUCGGCGUUCCGUCCCUCCCUAUCUGUGGCGCACACGCGCGGAGCGAGCGGCGCGCCCGAGGCGGGCAGGCAGCAGCUGCGGCGGCGGCGGCGGCGGCGGCGGCGGGGCGGCGCGGCGGCGCGGGGCGGGGCGGGGCGAGCGGGCGGCGCGGGGCGGGCCCGGGCGAGGCGGCCGGGGCGCCAGCGAGCGGGCGGCGAGCGCGGCGAGCAGCCGAGAGGAGCGCGAGCAGCAGCAUGGCGGGGCCCCGACGCCCGCAGCCUGGCUGCUACCGCCGCACCGCCGCGGCCGUGAACCUCCAGCUGGGCGACUCUUCAUCCCACCACCCACCAUCACCCGGCGUCCCCGUGGGUCAUAACGCGAUCGUGGCCCGCGUGCCCAAACCAAGCAGAAACCACCUCAAAGUUCCUGGCGACAGUGGCCCGGGAUCCCUUCCGCCGGCUCUCAGAGCCCCUGUCACGGUCGCGGAAAAUGCCCGGAGCCCCCGCCUCGGGGAAGGCGGCCGCCAAGGGGCCUCGAGCCGGGCCCGCGGCCGUGCAUUCCGCGCGGGGCGGGGCGGCGGCCGCGGCGUUCGCAUUGUCCACGUUCCCCGCGCCCCUCGGCGUUCCGUCCCU
rnacentral:lncRNA from 1 species